GGAAGCCGGUGCGAAUCCGGCGCGGCCCCGCCACUGUAACGGGCAUUUUUCACGGCUCUACGCCACUGGGUGGCUUUACCCGGGAAGGUGAGCCGACCGCCCGAAGCCAGGAGAC
rnacentral:ncRNA from 2 species